rnacentral:rRNA from 1 species
GGUAUAGUUAAUCUGCCCUACACAAGAGGACAACAGUUGGAAACGACUGCUAAUACUCUAUACUCCUGCUUAACACAAGUUGAGUAGGGAAAGUUUUUCGGUGUAGGAUGAGACUAUAUAGUAUCAGCUAGUUGGUAAGGUAAUGGCUUACCAAGGCUAUGACGCUUAACUGGUCUGAGAGGAUGAUCAAUCACACUGGAACCUGAAACACGGUCCAGACUCCUACGGGAGGCAGCAGUAGGGAAUAUUGCGCAAUGGGGGAAACCCUGACGCAGCAACGCCGCGUGGAGGAUGACACUUUUCGGAGCGUAAACUCCUUUUCUUAGGGAAGAAUUCUGACGGUACCUAAGGAAUAAGCACCGGCUAACUCCGUGCCAGCAGCCGCGGUAAUACGGAGGGUGCAAGCGUUACUCGGAAUCACUGGGCGUAAAGGGCGCGUAGCGGAUUAUCAAGUCUCUUGUGAAAUCUAAUGGCUUAACCAUUAAACUGCUUGGGAAACUGAUAGUCUAGAGUGAGGGAGAGGCAGAUGGAAUUGGUGGUGUAGGGGUAAAA